rnacentral:rRNA from 1 species
UAGAAGCUUGCUUCUAUGACGUUAGCGGCGGACGGGUGAGUAACACGUGGGCAACCUGCCUGUAAGACUGGGAUAACUUCGGGAAACCGAAGCUAAUACCGGAUAGGAUCUUCUCCUUCAUGGGAGAUGAUUGAAAGAUGGUUUCGGCUAUCACUUACAGAUGGGCCCGCGGUGCCUUAGCUAGUUGGUGAGGUAACGGCUCACCAAGGCAACGAUGCAUAGCCGACCUGAGAGGGUGAUCGGCCACACUGGGACUGAGACACGGCCCAGACUCCUACGGGAGGCAGCAGUAGGGAAUCUUCCGCAAUGGACGAAAGUCUGACGGAGCAACGCCGCGUGAGUGAUGAAGGCUUUCGGGUCGUAAAACUCUGUUGUUAGGGAAGAACAAGUACAAGAGUAACUGCUUGUACCUUGACGGUACCUAACCAGAAAGCCACGGCUAACUACGUGCCAGCAGCCGCGGUAAUACGUAGGUGGCAAGCGUUAUCCGGAAUUAUUGGGCGUAAAGCGCGCGCAGGCGGUUUCUUAAGUCUGAUGUGAAAGCCCACGGCUCAACCGUGGAGGGUCAUUGGAAACUGGGGAACUUGAGUGCAGAAGAGAAAAGCGGAAUUCCACGUGUAGCGGUGAAAUGCGUAGAGAUGUGGAGGAACACCAGUGGCGAAGGCGGCUUUUUGGUCUGUAACUGACGCUGAG